rnacentral:rRNA from 1 species
GAUGAACGCUGGCGGCGUGCCUAAUACAUGCAAGUCGAGCGAACGGACGAGAAGCUUGCUUUUCUGAUGUUAGCGGCGGACGGGUGAGUAACACGUGGAUAACCUACCUAUAAGACUGGGAUAACUUCGGGAAACCGGAGCUAAUACCGGAUAAUAUUUUGAACCGCAUGGUUCAAAAGUGAAAGACGGUCUUGAUGUCACUUAUAGAUGGAUCCGCGCUGCAUUAGCUAGUUGGUAAGGUAACGGCUUACCAAGGCAACGAUGCAUAGCCGACCUGAGAGGGUGAUCGGCCACACUGGAACUGAGACACGGUCCAGACUCCUACGGGAGGCAGCAGUAGGGAAUCUUCCGCAAUGGGCGAAAACCUGACGGAGCAACGCCGCGUGAGUGAUGAAGGUCUUCGGAUCGUAAAACUCUGUUAUUAGGGAAGAACAUAUGUGUAAGUAACUGUGCACAUCUUGACGGUACCUAAUCAGAAAGCCACGGCUAACUACGUG